rnacentral:rRNA from 1 species
GACGAACGCUGGCGGCGUGCUUAACACAUGCAAGUCGAGCGGUAAGGCCCUUUCGGGGGUACACGAGCGGCGAACGGGUGAGUAACACGUGGGUGACCUGCCCUCAGCUCUGGGAUAAGCCUGGGAAACCGGGUCUAAUACUGGAUAUGACUCCAUGACGCAUGUUGUGGGGUGGAAAGCCUUGUGCGGCUGAGGAUGGGCCCGCGGCCUAUCAGCUUGUUGGUGGGGUGANGGCCUACCAAGGCGACGACGGGUAGCCGGCCUGAGAGGGCGACCGGCCACACUGGGACUGAGACACGGCCCAGACUCCCACGGGAGGCAGCAGUGGGGAAUCUUGCGCAAUGGGCGAAAGCCUGACGCAGCGACGCCGCGUGAGGGAUGACGGCCUCGGUGUAACU